GACGAACGCUGGCGGCGUGCCUAAUACAUGCAAGUUGAGCGCUGAAGGUUGGUACUUGUACCAACUUGAUGAGCAGCGAACGGGUGAGUAACGCGUGGGGAAUCUGCCUUUGAGCGGGGGACAACAUUUGGAAACGAAUGCUAAUACCGCAUAAAAACUUUAAACACAAGUUUUAAGUUUGAAAGAUGCAAUUGCAUCACUCAAAGAUGAUCCCGCGUUGUAUUAGCUAGUUGGUGAGGUAAAGGCUCACCAAGGCGAUGAUACAUAGCCGAACUGAGAGGGGGAGCGGCCACAUUGGGACGGAGACACGGCCCAAACGCCUACGGGAGGCAGCAGUAGGGAAGCGUAGGCAAUGGACGAAAGACAGACCGAGAAACGCCGCGUGAGGGAAGAAGGUUUUCGGAUCGGAAAACUCGGUUGGUAGAGAAGAACGUGGGUGAGAGUGGAAAGAGCAUCAAGUGACGGUAACUACAAAGAAAGGGACGGCUAACUACGUG
rnacentral:rRNA from 1 species